UACAGAGGGUGCGAGCGUUUAAUCGGAAUUACUGGGCGUAAAGCGCGCGUAGGUGGCUAUGCAAGUCGGAUGUGAAAUCCCCCGGGGCUCAACCUGGGAACUGCAUUCGAGACUGCAUUGCUCGAGUAUGGGAGAGGGAAGUGGAAUUUCCGGUGUAGCGGUGAAAUGCGUAGAUAUCGGAAGGAACAUCAGUGGCGAAAGCGACUUCCUGGACCAAUACUGACACUCAAGUGCGAAAGCGUGGGGAGCAAACAGG
rnacentral:rRNA from 1 species